rnacentral:misc_RNA from 1 species
GUAAUUUGAUGCAAUUAAUUUGAUUGUCCUUAAUAAAGCAGAAGGGUCAUGUAGCCAACCUCAACUAGUUAGUAGUGUUUGAUGAAAUUGCAAAUUGAGUGCAGAAAAUUUGAGAUUUGCAUAUUUUAGUAUUCCCAAAUUUAAAUUUGAGAUUCAACUGAAUUAUAAGUUUUUAACUAAAGACUGCUUUGUUACCAAAAUACAGAUUGUGAAUUUGAUUAUAUUGUUAAAAUAUCACAACUAAAUUUUACAAUUAUAUGAAUUUAGCAAGCUAAAGAUAGGGGUGAUGAUGGUGGUAUUAUGGAUUUCAAAUAGUGGCAGUUAUGUUGUCUAACAGCUGUAAAUGCUGAAGUAAAGGUAAUGGCUAUUAUCAAUACAAAAUGGUUCUUUCUUUGGGUGUUUUUGUAGGUUUUGAUGCACAAAAUCCCUACUUCUCUAGGUGCCAUUUCAUGUCCUUUUUAGCCUUCAACCUAAAUCGUACAAAACUCUUGCUACAAGAUUUUUUUUCUUUAAAAAGUUUCACUUUGUAGCAAAGUAAAAGCAAAGUCGAAGGGAGUAUGUUUAGGCCUUUCUGCAUUUUCUUUUAGAUGGACGAGUCAAUUUUGACUUUGUUGUUGUGCUUUUGAGCAUUUGUUUUGGUUUUCCUAUAAUUAUGGCUCCUUUUGCUGAUGAUGAUGUUAGAUCUCCUUGUUGUUUGUUGCUAGUUACUGAUGAUUGACGUUAAUGAAUAUAAAUCGUGGAACCAUGUUUUUAUUUGAUGUAUAUAUUAUACUUGUUUGUUAGUUGCAUUCUGGGUAUUAUUCAAGUCCUUGAAUAUCUAUUUAUAUAAGAAUUUUGCAAUUUGUAUCAAAAACAAAAUUGUAUUGACAAGCUAGUACUGUUAGCUUAUGAGUGCGAUGGCCCUGAUUCCUUCACAACCAACUCUGAUUUUAAUAUGCGGGUGGCUAGUAAUAUAUGUGGUGAUAUAAUGACAUGGUAGUGGCAUUGAUGAUGAUAAUGAUUAUUGUUAAUGUAUUGAUGGCAAUCAUAGUGUUCCUGGUUAUGGUGGUGGUGAGGGUAGAUGACAACAAUAGUGGUAAUGACGGUGCUAGCUUAGAACAUUAUGUAAAAAUUUUCUUUUUGAUAUUCUUCCCUUUCCCUCCCCCAUCUUCUCUCCAUAUCUCUAAUUUCUUGUUAUUCUUUCUCUCUGAUCUCUGAAGGUUCCACAUCAAUUUUUUUCCCCUCAGAGCAACCCUUGAUAUUGACAUUGCCAUCAUACUCGUUACUACAUCUUUUGCAAAUGAAAUACCAAAUUAACCUCUUAACCCCUAAUUUUUGAACUACCAUUUGGACAUUGUCUUUUGUUGUUCUUAAAUGAAUUUGCAAAGAAUAUAUCGGUUGCUAUUUUGAUACCCUGCCUACCACAAAUUCAAAUUGCUAUGACUGAAUUUAAGUGUUGUGUGAAUAGAACAUCUCAACUACCAAGACGAGAAACUGAUAAUGCUCGAAUUGUUCUGGGAUGUCUACCAUUUCUGAAACCUCAUCAACAAUUAUGCCUUUCUCAAAAACCCCACCCUCAAAAUUCUGUCAUCUUUGAUCAUUGAUAUUGUCAUCAUUGAGUUGGUAUUUGCUAUAUCUUAUUUAUUGAUUAUUGAGGCUGCUCUCUGUCUGGUUUGCAUUCCUGUCUUCACUAGUUAUUUUUGCCACCAAGGCUGUUUACUGGUUGAUG